AUUGUUCAACGGCCGCGGUAUCCUAACCGUGCGAAGGUAGCGUAAUCACUUGUUCUUUAAUUGAGGACUAGUAUGAACGGCUUCACGAAAGCUAUACUGUCUCCUUUAUCCAAUCAGUUAAACUAAUCUCCCCGUGAAAAAGCGGGGAUACCCAUAUAAGACGAGAAGACCCUAUGGAGCUUUAAAUUUCUUCAGACAUUUGAACAUACACAAUCCUUAAAACCACUAAGUUCGUCAUUUUGUCUCAAAUUUUAGGUUGGGGCGACCACGGAGAAAAAACCAACCUCCACGUGGAAAGAAAUCCCCUUCUAAGCAAAAAGCUACACCUUUAUGCAUCAACACAUUGACCUUAAUUGACCCAAUUGCUUGAUCAACGAACCAAGUUACCCUAGGGAUAACAGCGCAAUCCGCUUUUAGAGCUCCUAUCGACAAGCGGGCUUACGACCUCGAUGUUGGAUCAGGGCAUCCCAGUGGUGCAGCAGCUACUAAAGGUUCGUUUGUUCAACGAUUAAAGCCCUACGUGAUCUGAGUUCAGAC
rnacentral:rRNA from 1 species